GAUGACGGCCUUCGGGUUGUAAACCUCUUUUAUCAGGGAAGAAGCGAGAGUGACGGUACCUGCAGAAAAAGCGCCGGCUAACUACGUGCCAGCAGCCGCGGUAAUACGUAGGGCGCAAGCGUUAUCCGGAAUUAUUGGGCGUAAAGAGCUCGUAGGCGGUUUGUCGCGUCUGCUGUGAAAUCCCGAGGCUCAACCUCGGGCCUGCAGUGGGUACGGGCAGACUAGAGUGCGGUAGGGGAGAUUGGAAUUCCUGGUGUAGCGGUGGAAUGCGCAGAUAUCAGGAGGAACACCGAUGGCGAAGGCAGAUCUCUGGGCCGUAACUGACGCUGAGGAGCGAAAGGGUGGGGAGCAAACAGGCUUAGAUACCCUGGUAGUCCACCCCGUAAACGUUGGGAACUAGUUGUGGGGUCCAUUCCACGGAUUCCGUGACGCAGCUAACGCAUUAAGUUCCCCGCCUGGGGAGUACGGCCGCAAGGCUAAAACUCAAAUGAAUUGACGGGG
rnacentral:rRNA from 1 species